AACGAACGCUGGCGGCAGGCUUAACACAUGCAAGUCGAACGCCCUCUUCGGAGGGAGUGGCAGACGGGCGAGUAACGCGAGGGAACCUACCUAUUGGUUCGGAAUAACCCAGGGAGACUUGGGCUAAUAACGGAUACGUGCUUCGGGUGAAAGAUUUCUAGCCGCUAGAUGGGCCCGCGUCGGAUUAGCUAGUUGGUGGGGUAAUGGCCUACCAAGGCAACGCUCCGCAGCUGGUCUGAGAGGAUGAUCAGCCACACUGGGACUGAGCCACGGCCCAGGCUCCUACGGGAGGCAGCAGUGGGGAAUAUUGGACAAUGGGCGCAAGCCUGAUCCAGCCAUGCCGCGAGAGUGAAGAAGGCCUAAGGGUUGUAAAGCUCUUUCAGCGGGGAAGAUGAUGACGGUACCCGCAGAAGAAGCCCCGGCUAACUUCGUGCCAGCCGCCGCAGUAAGAC
rnacentral:rRNA from 1 species